ensembl:lncRNA
GUUAGGGAAUGCAGGAAUGCUGAGGGUUGUUAGGGGAUGCAGUAAGGCUGAGGGUUGUUAGGGGAUGCAGUAAGGCUGAGGGUUGUUAGGGAUGCAGGAAGGCUGAGGGAUGUUAGGGGAUGCAGGAAGGCUGAGGGUUGUUAGGGGAUGCAGUAAGGCUGAGGGUUUUGAGGGAUGCAGGAAGGCUGAGGGUUGUUUGGGGAUGCAGUAAGGCUGAGGGUUUUGAGGGAUGCAGGAAGGCUGAGGGUUGUUAGGGGAUACAGUAAGACUGAGGGAUUUUAGGGGAUGCAGUAAGGCUGAGGGAUGUUAUGGGAUGCAGGAAGGCUGAGGGUUGUCAGGAGAUGCAGGAAGGCUGAGGGUUGUGGGGAAUGCAGGAAGGCUGAGGGUUGUUAGGGGAUGCAGAAAGGCUGAGGGAUGUUAGGGGAUGCAGAAAGGCUGAGGGAUGUUAGGGGAUGCAGGAAGGCUGAGGGUUGUCAGGGGAUGCAGUAAGGCUGAGGGUUGUGGGGGAUGCAGGAAGGCUGAGGGUUGUUAAGGGAUGCCUGAAGGAUGAGGGGACAAAUGGGGUUGUUUAGCCCUGGACCUCAGUCUCUCUCCACAAUCCUUCACCCUGGGUGUCCUAACCCAGGGUUUCCCAAACUUGGUCCUGG